rnacentral:rRNA from 1 species
UACAUGGGGUGCAAACGUUGCUCGGAAUUAUUGGGCGUAAAGCGCACGUAGGUGGUUCGUUAUGUCGGAUGUGAAAGCCCUCGGCUCAACUGAGGAAGUGCAUCCGGAACUGGCGAGCUAGAGUAUGUAAGAGGGUCGCGGAAUUCCCGGUGUAGAGGUGAAAUUCGUAGAUAUCGGGAGGAACACCGGUGGCGAAGGCGGCGACCUGGGACAAUACUGACACUGAGGUGCGAAAGCGUGGGGAGCAAACAGG